GACGAACGCUGGCGGCGUGCUUAACACAUGCAAGUCGAACGGAAAGGCCUGCUUUCCCUUGUGGAUUGCGGGUACUCGAGUGGCGAACGGGUGAGUAACACGUGAGUGAUCUGCCCCCAACUUGGGUAUAAGCCUGGGAAACUGGGUCUAAUUCCCGAUAGGACUGCAGGGUGGUGCCUGUGGUGGAAAACGAUUUUCUAGUGGUUGGGGAUGAGCUCGCGGCCUAUCAGCUUGUUGGUGGGGUAAUGGCCUACCAAGGCGGCGACGGGUAGCCGGCCUGAGAGGGUGGACGGCCACAUUGGGACUGGGAUACGGCCCAGACUCCUACGGGAGGCAGCAGUGGGGAAUAUAGCACAAUGGGCGGAAGCGUGAAGCAGCGACGCCGCGUGGGGGAUGACGGCCUUCGGGUUGUAAGCUCCUUUCGACCGCGAGGAAGCCACCUGGUUGGAAGGGUGGUGACGGUAGUGGUAGAAGAAGCACCGGCUAACUACGUG
rnacentral:rRNA from 1 species